GAGUUUGAUUCUGGCUCAGGAUGAACGCUGGCGGCAUGCCUAACACAUGCAAGUUGAACGAGAAGUUCUGGAGGGAGUCUUCGGACGAACGAAGGAAUGGAAAGUAGCGAACGGGUGAGUAACGCGUGGGCAACCAACCUUACACAGGGGGAUAACGCAGAGAAAUUUGCGCUAAUACCGCAUAAGCGCACAGUGCCGCAUGGUACAGUGUGAAAAACUCCGGUGGUGUAAGACGGGCCCGCGUCUGAUUAGUUAGUUGGUGAGGUAAAAGCUCACCAAGGCGACGAUCAGUAGCCGACCUGAGAGGGUGAUCGGCCACAUUGGGACUGAGACACGGCCCAAACUCCUACGGGAGGCAGCAGUGGGGGAUAUUGCACAAUGGAGGAAACUCUGAUGCAGCAAUGCCGCGUGAAGGAAGACGGUUUUCGGAUUGUAAACUUCUAUCAGCAGGGAAGAAAAUGACG
rnacentral:rRNA from 1 species